AAGUCGUAACAAGGUUUCCGUAGGUGAACCUGCGGAAGGAUCAUUAUUAUUUGGGUUGGGUUUACUUUUCAAAAAAUCGUUCUCUAAUUUUUCAAAAAGUAAAUCUGCACCAAAUAAAGUUAGUGAAAACUGAACUUUAUUUUCUCGCCCUAUUUAUAGGGAGGAGCAAGAUGAACUUUAUUUAAAACCAUCCACUCUUAAAAAAAAUAUCUUAUAAUAUAUAUAUAAUUAAGAUCACUUUCAACAACGGAUCUCUUGGCUCUC
rnacentral:misc_RNA from 1 species